GACGAACGCUGGCGGCGUGCUUAACACAUGCAAGUCGAACGGAAAGGCCCUGCUUUUGUGGGGUGCUCGAGUGGCGAACGGGUGAGUAACACGUGAGUAACCUCUCCUUGUCUUUGGGAUAACUUCAGGAAACUGGGGCUAACACCGGAUAGGAGCUCCUGCUGCAUGGUGGGGGUUGGAAAGUUUCGGCGGUUGGGGAUGGACUCGCGGCUUAUCAGCUUGUUGGUGGGGUAGUGGCUUACCAAGGGUUUGAGGGAUAGCCGGCCUGAGAGGGUGACCGGGGUCCAGAGGACUGAGAGAGGGCCCAGUCGCGAACGGGAGGCAGCGGUGGGGAGUAUUGCGGAGUGGGCGGGAGCCUGAUGCAGCAACGUCGGGUGCGGAAUGACGGCCUUCGAGUUGUGAACAGAUUUCGAAGGAGACGAAGCGAGAGUGACGGUAAUGGGUAAAGAAGCACCGGCUAACUACGUG
rnacentral:rRNA from 1 species